GAUGAACGCUGACAGAAUGCUUAACACAUGCAAGUCAACUUGAACUUCGGUUUGGGUGGCGGACGGGUGAGUAACGCGUAAAGAACUUGCCUCACAGUUAGGGACAACAUUUGGAAACGAAUGCUAAUACCUGAUAUUAUGAUUUUAGGGCAUCCUAGAAUUAUGAAAGCUAUAUGCGCUGUGAGAGAGCUUUGCGUCCCAUUAGCUAGUUGGAGAGGUAACGGCUCACCAAGGCGAUGAUGGGUAGCCGGCCUGAGAGGGUGAACGGCCACAAGGGGACUGAGACACGGCCCUUACUCCUACGGGAGGCAGCAGUGGGGAAUAUUGGACAAUGGACCAAGAGUCUGAUCCAGCAAUUCUGUGUGUACGAUGAAGUUUUUCGGAAUGUAAAGUGCUUUCAGUUGGGAAGAAAAAAAUGACGGUACCAACAGAAGAAGUGACGGCUAAAUACGUG
rnacentral:rRNA from 1 species